rnacentral:rRNA from 1 species
AGAGCGAACGCUGGCGGCAGGCUUAACACAUGCGAGUCGAGCGGGCCCUUCGGGGUCAGGCGGCAGACGGGUGAGUAACACGUGGGAACGUACCCUUUGGUUCGGAAUAACGCUGGGAAACUAGCGCUAAUACCGGAUACGCCCUUUUGGGGAAAGGCUUGCUGCCGAAGGAUCGGCCCGCGUCUGAUUAGCUAGUUGGUGGGGUAAUGGCCUACCAAGGCGACGAUCAGUAGCUGGUCUGAGAGGAUGAUCAGCCACACUGGGACUGAGACACGGCCCAGACUCCUACGGGAGGCAGCAGUGGGGAAUAUUGGACAAGUGGGCGCAAGCCUGAUCCAGCCAUGCGCGUGAGUGAUGAGGCCGUAGGUUGUAAGACUCUUUGUCGGACGAGUAAUGACGGUACGGAAGAAGUAAGACCCGCGUACUACGUCG